rnacentral:rRNA from 1 species
UACGUAGGUGGCAGGCGUUAUCCGGAUUUAUUGGGCGUAAAGGGAACGCAGGCGGUCUUUUAAGUCUGAUGUGAAAGCCUUCGGCUUAACCGGAGUAGUGCAUUGGAAACUGGGAGACUUGAGUGCAGAAGAGGAGAGUGGAACUCCAUGUGUAGCGGUGAAAUGCGUAGAUAUAUGGAAGAACACCAGUGGCGAAAGCGGCUCUCUGGUCUGUAACUGACGCUGAGGGUCGAAAGCGUGGGUAGCAAACAGG